rnacentral:lncRNA from 1 species
CAUUUUAGAUGAUAGGAAUUUCAAAUUGAUGAUCAUAAGUCAUUUUAGAUGAUAAAAAUUUCAAAUCGAUGAUCAGAAUUGUUAAAUUGAUCUAGAGUAUUUAAAGUGUUUACAAACUAAAUUUCAUAAAUUUUAAAAAUUAUUUACGUAGUGAUUAAAGAAUCAUAAAAUCGAUAGAUUUGGACAGCAUAUAUUUGUUUAGCAGUGUAGAACAAUCCAAACAGCUUGAAUUUUUGAUAAAAUUUUUUUUAUACUAUUCAGAUAAUAUUUGAUAACUCCGAUCAUGAUUGUAAAAGCCUAACUUCUAUUUUUACAAGGUUAUUUGUUUUUGACUGUUUAUUUUUCAACUCUUCAAUGAAUUUGAUAACGAACUGUUAAAUUUAUAAAAUUUAGUUUCUAGACGUUAUAAAUCCUUUAGAUCAACUUUAACGUUCUAAUCAUCAAUUCAGAAUCCCUAUCAUCUAAAUUGGCUUAGGAGGACGAAGGCCUCCGUCAUCCUAAAAGGUAGUAGCUGAACUCUACUAAUAAUACUUAAUAUAUAGUGGUAAUACUAAUAAUAUUUGUCAUUCUCCGGGUUAGGUUGGAACCUAGGCUCACCAACAGAUCUGCCAUAUACACAGAAAGCCCCAUGCACAUGAAGUAUCUAAAAUAAUUAUAAAUAAUCCAAAAGCUACAACUAGCCGUUCAAAGCUGAAAAGUAAAACUAAUACAUAAAUGAAAACAUAUUGUACACACAUCAACUUCCAAAAUAGUAUGUAAAUCAACCACCACAACAACUAAAAAAUAAAGUACAACUAGUGAAGGCCCGCGCUUCGCUGCGGGAGAUUUACGCAUUUUUUAAAAUAUUUUCAACAAAUUAAUAUAUUUCUAUAUUUAUGUUGCUAUCAUUUAUUUUUAAAAAUUUUAAAUUUAAAUUUUUUAAUUUUCAAAUCUAAUCUUAAAUUUUAAACUUUAACAAAUUAAAGAGCUAAAAAAAAUUAAAAAAAUUAUUUAAAUAGAGAGUAAUAAAAAAUAAUUUGAAAAUUGAAGAGAGCAGAGAGA